rnacentral:rRNA from 2 species
ACCACCUGAUCCCAUUCCGAACUCAGAAGUGAAACGCAGCUGCGACGAUGGUAGUGUAGCAUUCGCUAUGCGAGAGUAGUUCACCGCCAGGC